CAGCAGCCGCGGUAAUACGUAGGUCCCGAGCGUUGUCCGGACUUAUUGGGCGUAAAGCGAGCGCAGGCGGUUAGAUAAGUCUGAAGUUAAAGGCUGUGGCUUAACCAUAGUACGCUUUGGAAACUGUUUAACUUGAGUGCAGAAGGGGAGAGUGGAAUUCCAUGUGUAGCGGUGAAAUGCGUAGAUAUAUGGAGGAACACCGGUGGCGAAAGCGGCUCUCUGGUCUGUAACUGACGCUGAGGCUCGAAAGCGUGGGGAGCGAACAGGAUUAGAUACCCCAGUAGUCCCUGUCUCUUAUACA
rnacentral:rRNA from 1 species